rnacentral:rRNA from 1 species
GACGAACGCUGGCGGCGUGCCUAAUACAUGCAAGUCGAACGCACUCUCGUUUAGAUUGAAGGAGCUUGCUCCUGAUUGAUAAACAUUUGAGUGAGUGGCGGACGGGUGAGUAACACGUGGGUAACCUGCCCUAAAGUGGGGGAUAACAUUUGGAAACAGAUGCUAAUACCGCAUAAAACCCAACACCGCAUGGUGUAGGGUUGAAAGAUGGUUUCGGCUAUCACUUUAGGAUGGACCCGCGGUGCAUUAGUUAGUUGGCGAGGUAAAGGCUCACCAAGACCGUGAUGCAUAGCCGACCUGAGAGGGUAAUCGGCCACACUGGGACUGAGACACGGCCCAGACUCCUACGGGAGGCAGCAGUAGGGAAUCUUCCACAAUGGACGAAAGUCUGAUGGAGCAACGCCGCGUGAGUGAAGAAGGUUUUCGGAUCGUAAAACUCUGUUGUUGGAGAAGAAUGUAUCUGAUAGUAACUGAUCAGGUAGUGACGGUAUCCAACCAGAAAGCCACGG